GCUGAACGAAUCCUUAACAAAGAAUCUGGGUGGAAGAGUCUUGCGGGAACCACCAACUUCUCUCAGAUAGCCACUGAAACGCCUGCAACGAACCAACCUUUCAAAUAUUCGUCGACCGCAUCGUCGGCUUCAUCGGAAACUACGUUGUGAAGCUCGAUGGUCACGUUGAUGCCCUCGUCUUUGCCGGUGGGAUUGGUGAGAAGAGCGCCCUUUUGCGGGAAAAGGUGGUAGAGAAGUGUAGGUGCUUGGGCUUUGCAAUUGGUCCGGAAGCGAACAAUAAGGGACUCGCGGAUGGGUGUGCAGUGACAGAUGUUUCACAAAAGAUGGAGAGCCGACAGUGCACUGCAAAAAAGCCUCGGGUACUCAUUUGCCAAACCGAUGAGGAG
rnacentral:sRNA from 1 species